GGAUUGAUGAUCACUCUCAUACAUAUAUUCCCUGGAAAGCUGAACAGAAGGAAUGAAAAAUCAAUACUGUCAUUCUCGUAGGACUGAGGCC
rnacentral:snoRNA from 1 species